rnacentral:rRNA from 1 species
UGGGGAAUAUUGCACAAUGGGCGCAAGCCUGAUGCAGCCAUGCCGCGUGUAUGAAGAAGGCCUUCGGGUUGUAAAGUACUUUCAGCGGGGAGGAAGGCGAUAAGGUUAAUAACCUUGUCGAUUGACGUUACCCGCAGAAGAAGCACCGGCUAACUCCGUGCCAGCAGCCGCGGUAAUACGGAGGGUGCAAGCGUUAAUCGGAAUUACUGGGCGUAAAGCGCACGCAGGCGGUUGGUCAAGUCGGAUGUGAAAUCCCCGGGCUCAACCUGGGAACUGCAUUCGAAACUGGCAGGCUAGAGUCUUGUAGAGGGGGGUAGAAUUCCAGGUGUAGCGGUGAAAUGCGUAGAGAUCUGGAGGAAUACCGGUGGCGAAGGCGGCCCCCUGGACAAAGACUGACGCUCAGGUGCGAAAGCGUGGGGAGCAAACA